CUUGAGAACCUUCUGUGUUUGGUUGCCGGGAUGUUGCUAUGGUCACAUUCCAUGUUGGAAUUGGAGUAGUGAACUGUGGAAACAGUGAUAGCUCAGGAUGCCCAGGCUUGAAGCUAGGCUAUCUGGAAAUUCUGGAGUGUGCUAAAGCCACACUGGACAUGGACCAGACAGCUCUGAAGAAACUGGUAGGAUCCAUCAGUGAAACUGUCAAGAGCUUAUCAUAA
rnacentral:lncRNA from 1 species